UACGUAGGUGGCAAGCGUUGUCCGGAUUUAUUGGGUUUAAAGGGUGCGUAGGCGGCUUUGUAAGUCAGUGCUGAAAUACUCCAGCUUAACUGGAGGGGUGGCAUUGAUACUGGAAGACUUGAGUGUAGUCGAAGUAGGCGGAAUUGACGGUGUAGCGGUGAAAUGCUUAGAUAUCAUCAAGAACACCGAUAGUGAAGACAGCUUACUAGGCUACAACUGACGCUGAGGCACGAAAGUGUGGGGAGCAAACAGG
rnacentral:rRNA from 1 species